GCUUACGGCCAUACCAGCCCAAGAACGCCCGGCUCUCGUCUGAUCUCGGAAGCUAAGAAGGCUUGGGCCUGGUUAGUACUUAGGAUGGGAGACCUCCUGGGAAUACCAGGUGCUGUAAGCU
ensembl:rRNA 5S_rRNA 5S ribosomal RNA